rnacentral:rRNA from 1 species
AUACGUAGGUGGCGAGCGUUGUCCGGAUUUAUUGGGCGUAAAGCGAGUGCAGGCGGUCUUUUAAGUCUGAUGUGAAAGCCUUCGGCUUAACCGAAGAAGGGCAUCGGAAACUGGGAGACUUGAGUGCAGAAGGGGAGAGUGGAACUCCAUGUGUAGCGGUGAAAUGCGUAGAUAUAUGGAAGAACACCAGUGGCGAAGGCGGCUGCCUGGUCUGUAACUGACGCUGAGGCUCGAAAGUAUGGGUAGC